CCCCAGAUCAGAUCCGUAGUAGACCACGCCGAUCAGACGGUCAGAAGCAACCAAUAAGGCGCAGAUAGAAUACGAGCCGAUGGCAAAUCCGGAAUUUUAGGAUAAGCUAUCCGCGGCCUUCCCCCGCGAGAGAGAGAGAGAGAGAGAGAGAGAGAUCGGAAGCUGCUUGGUCGGUAAAUGCCGUCAAUGGCCGCCGCCUUCUCCACCCACCCCCUCUCCUUCGCCCCUCGCCCUCUCUUCUCGCCCACCCCGCCCAAACCCGUCAAAACCCUAACCCUUGCUCUCCCCUCCACCCAAAACCCUAGCGGAAGAUCCACUUCAGCGCCCACAGCCCUCUUCGCUUCCCAACUUCCCCGGAGAUCCUUCAGGGCAGCUCAAAAGGUCGCGGAAACAGAUCCAAAAGCAAUAAAUGGGGAUGAGGAGAACCAGACCCCGGAGAAUAAAUCAGAAGACAAGGAAGAUAAAAAGGAUAUACCUGCUAUGAAGAUGCUAAUUCAAGCUUACAAGAAGGCUAUCAUAGAUGGAGAUGAAAAGAGUGUUUGUGAAAUGGAGGUGGCACUUUGUGCUGCUGAGAACGAGAAGAAUGAUUUAUCUGCGAAAUGUACAGAAAUAGCAGCAGAAAUAGCUUCUGGGAGGGAUAGACUUCUCCGCUUGAAAGCUGAUUUUGACAAUUUUAGAAAGAAAUUUGAGAAGGAUUGUCUUAAUUUUACAUCAGAUAUUCAAGAGGAAGUAUUUCAGAGCUUGUUGCCCAUGGUUGACAGUUUUGAGCAAGCCAAGCAGAAGAUGAAACCAGAAACAGAUAAGGAGAAGAAGAUUGAUGCAAGUUAUCAGGGUAUAUACAAGCAGUUCGUGGAGAUCAUGAGAAGCUUUCGUGUAUCUGUAGUAGAGACAAUUGGCAAGCCAUUUGAUCCUGCAAUUCAUGAGGCUGUUGCCCGAGAAGAGUCUCCACUGUUCAAGGCAGGCAUUGUUUCACAAGAAAUUCGUCGUGGGUUUUUCUUAGGAGAUCGGCUACACCACAGGCUCUGGUGUAGCAAAAACAGCUUCAGAUACUGAAGAUUCCAUUGAGCAACUGGAAGAGGCUGCUGAACCUGCUGAAGAUUCUACUCCUACAUCCAGCAACAGCUAGUUCAAUAAUGGGUUUAAAUUCUAACUCCAUUUUAGGAAGAAGUCUGAAGUUCCGAGAGUUUUUUCGGACUGGUGUUCCUUGGAGAUAACCGAUGCAGGCAACAACUCUUUUUUUCAGGGAAAACACCCUCCAAAAGCUACUUUGACAAUCCACUCGCCACAGCAAAGAAGUAGCUUCCUAGAUUUGUUCUGGUCCAGAUUAUUCAGAUAACUUUAUGAAAAUAAUUUUGCUUGUUGGAUUUAAAUGUUACUACAGUAACUUUUUUUGUCUAGUUUUUCAAGGCACCACCACUUCCAAAUAUUGGCACCGAAGGGAGUCAAAAAUGUGUUACUCUGUACUUGCAAGUGCUCUGUUUCAUUUAAGUAGUCGCCGAAGGAAGAGUAUUAUCACUUUAUCUUUUGAAA